rnacentral:rRNA from 1 species
UACGUAGGGUGCAAGCGUUAUCCGGAAUUAUUGGGCGUAAAGAGCUCGUAGGCGGUCUGUCGCGUCUGCUGUGAAAUCUGGGGGCUCAACCCCCAGCCUGCAGUGGGUACGGGCAGACUAGAGUGCGGUAGGGGAGAUUGGAACUCCUGGUGUAGCGGUGGAAUGCGCAGAUAUCAGGAGGAACACCGAUGGCGAAGGCAGGUCUCUGGGCCGAUACUGACGCUGAGGAGCGAAAGCGUGGGGAGCGAACAGG